rnacentral:rRNA from 1 species
AUUGAACGCUGGCGGCAGGCCUAACACAUGCAAGUCGAGCGGCGCGGCGGACGGGUGAGUAAUGCCUAGGAAUCUGCCUGGUAGUGGGGGAUAACGUCCGGAAACGGGCACUAAUACCGCAUACUAUCAGAUGAGUCUAGGUCGGCUUAGCUAGUUGGUGGGGUAAAGGCCUACCAAGGAGACGAUCCGUAACUGGUCUGUGAGGAUGAUCAGUCACCAUGGAACUGAUAAACGGUCCAGACUCCUACGUGAGGCAGCAGUGGGGAAUAUUGGACAAUGGGCGAAAGUCUGAUCCAGCUAUGCCGCGUGUGUGAAGAAGGUCUUCGGAUUGUAAAGCACUUUAAGUUGGGAGGCGUUACCAACAGAAUAAGCAACGGCUAACUUCGUGCCAGCAGCCGCGGUAAUUC